AAUAACGUAAUCAGCAUGUCAUCCUAUCGAAGUUAUACACCCUGGAAAUCAAACCUGGGCAGCUCCUACAAGCCGAGUACUUCUACGUAUACACUAGGAGGUGACCUAGGAAAUGGCUCCACUUCGCGCUACACAUCACUGGCCACACCCACUGCCUACAGACCAUCAUUUUCCGGUGGAACCUAUCGCAUCAAACGAGAUCCUCCAGCUCCAACACCUGUGACCAGCUACGUGAGUCGCUAUGGAAGCACUGCCAAGACAGAUGCCAAGGAGGCAGCUAGUUCCAGUGACAGGAGCAGCCCCAUCAAGCGGUACACGGGCACAACCAGCAAGUUGGGAAAGUAUGGCAGAUCUAGGGAUCCCAGUCCUGUGGCAUUAGAGCACACGAAUCACAGCAAGUCAAAGUCAAGGGACCCCAGUCCCGUGAUGGACAGCGCGAGAAGUAAACUGGGAGCUGCUUCCUAUCGCAGCAGUACCACAAGGAAUGCUUAUGGCAAUCGAUAUGGAUCAGGAGCAAGACCAAGUGCAAGUACCACGCUGGAUAAGUCCAUCUCGUACUUGACCACCAGUGAUUUUCACGCAAGGACUGCGAGUCGGGCAAAGGCGAGCAGGGAGAAGGAACUGGAGGAGCAUCUGGUACCUGAGGUGCCAGUGGAAUCCUCCAGAGAAUCUACAAAUGAAGAGGACGUUAUAAAGGAGCCGAAAGAGAAGCAGUUGGAAAAUCCGCCAGAGGAAACAUUUAUAUCCGUGGCCGUGGUCACCAGAGCCACCUCUCCUACUCCGCCAGGCAGCACCACUGUGCAGAGAACCCGACGCAUCGAUAUAGCCAAGACCAUUGAGAAGACCAUACAAAGGUCGACAAAGCCCCGAGAGACGCUGGAGAAGGAGAUUCAAUCGGAUCGGCUGGAUGACUCCACAAGAUAUUUGCGUUACAGCGCCGGCAGCAGCAGCAUCAGCUCCAACUACAGUUCCCACAGGGAUCGCAUCAGCAGUCUGCGCUACAAUGCGAGUCCUUCGGCCAACAGUCCUUCCCCCAAAUCGAGCACACCUAGCGUAGAGUCCAAGGAGUCGCCGACCUCCCCCGCCAAAAGUAAUGGCACAUCCGCCUCGGCAAGCGUUGCCAGCUCCAAGAGCAGUAGCAAGUCCAAGUUGUCGCCUCCGAAAGCGGUGCGUCUCAAUUCACGACAGUCCUCGGUGGAGAAUCUGGUUAACAAGCCGCCGACAGCUCCGGUCAAGGCAGAAUCUCCCACAAAGACCUGCGGCUCCAGCUCGAGCAGCUCCUUGGCCAAGUGGCCCUGGCCCAACAAGGAUUUUCGCAAGAGCUCCCUGAAUGUGGGACCCACAGAUCGACCUCGGAAAUCUCGCACGCCCAGCAGUGGCGGCGAAUCGGAGGAGCCAGCUGGAGUCGGAGAAGGAGGGCAGCUGGAACGUUCGCCGAGUUGUGGCAGCGAAGUUAGCGUUGCCUCCGCCAGCUCGGUGAGAAAGGGAGGCAAGUUAUCAAACGGCAAAUCAGCCUCAAAUCGCCAGCUAAAAGCUCACAAGUCAUGUGCUCCUAGUAAUGGUACUGCCAGCAGCUCGGCAACAUCUUCCGCCUCCGCUUCCGCAUCCGCUUCCUCGUCGGACAGCGAGCAGCGCGGGAAAGCAGCCAAAAAACAGAGCAAGAAAAAGUCGCCGGCAAACGGCGGACAGCAGAAAGAGAAGACAACGAAGGUCGUUGCCAAGCAGACAGGUGAGUGCGAUUCGGAUGAGAUUCAACGAUCAACAAUGGGACACCAAAAUAGCCACAAGUCUGUCACUGACUCACCUUCCGUCGAGGCAGUCAGACAGUCGCCAACGCAGCCGACGUCGCAGUCAGCGUCGCAGUCAGCGUCGCGUCUGCAGAAACUGUCGGCGGUGUCGAAUUUUUUCGCCACUCGUCAGCAAGACGCAAAUAGUGAACCGAUCUUCAUCGAAAGCUCCGAGAGCGCUGGUGAGGCAGAUGCGGCCCCCUCGAUGAUCAGUCUAUCGCAAGACACCCGAACGAACGAACUAACGACGCCAACAACGGCAAGUGGCGAAGUGAGGAAUCCUUCACUGACAACCACAACGACAACGAUCCCAACAACAACAACAAGCAGCUCAUUAAGUUCCACCACACACUGUCCCAGGGAGACAACGUCGCACUUGAAGAAGGAUAUCCUGCCCACUGAGAGUCUUACCAGCGAAGUGAAUCCCUCGCUGGAGCAGGAGGAUUUGGACGAACCCAGUUGGUGGCAGGACACCAGCUUGCAGAUCAACACGGCUUCAGCUCUGGACUACAACAAUCGUGGCGAGAUGCCUUAUAGACUGAGGCACAUUGACUCCGGAGAUGAGCAGGCCUGGUGGUUGCGCCAGGACGAAACUGUUGACGAGGACGACACGCUGGCGGAGGAAACGCUUAAUCCGCUGGACGAGGAACAGGAUUUGAGUGCGGCAACUGAGCCGCAGGGGGAGCACAGCAAGACGGGCUGGUGGAGUAGUAGCAACAACGAUAACGAAAAGGAAAAUCAAAUGGAAAAUCACAACGAAAAUAAUUCACUAGAAAGUCAACUAAAUGGCAAUGGAUUUGGGCCAGAAAUCGAGGUGGAUCACAGUCAGGCAGCCAAGAAAAUGCCAAGAAGUCGCAUUUCACCCGAGCACGAUGCCUGGUGGCUGGAGGAAGAUCAACAGCCAUCGCAGGAAAUCAAACAGAAUGGUUACCAUGAGGAGCCCCACGUGGAGGUGACCCUCAAGCUGCCCAGCAGCGAACGCAGCUCAAAGAGCAGUCAAAAGAAGUCAUCCAACUCGGGAGAUGCCUCCCAGCACUGGUGGCUCUCGGGACCCGCCAAGAAGCUCUUCAACGUGCAGCGAGUGGAGUCCGGGGAACGCGCCUGGUGGCAGGAGAAGGAGAAUGAGCCACCGCCGGUGAAGCCACCAACGCCUCCACCCCGCAUUAUCAAGCACUGGGAGUCGGGUGAGCGUGCCUGGUGGCUGCAGGACGAGGAUCAGAUGCCAGCACAAAGCAACGGCGAGGAAUUGUUGACGGUACCGACGCCUGCAGCCGACGAGGUCGAUCUGCAUAACGACAGAAUGCCGGAUGCACCCUCUGAGCUGAGCAGCUCCUUUAACUUUGCCUAUUCGGUGCGUCCGCCGCCGUUGGGACAGUGCGCCAGUCCCGUGCCGCCCGAGUCCGAAUCCGAGCAGCGAAAGCACUGCGCAUCGCCCUACGAUAACAUUCCAAUGUCAAAAGUUCAAAUGGCAGCCGUGCAGCUGCAGUCGCCGCCGCCGCCGGCGCAGUCGACGUCCCCGUCGACGUCAGCGCCCCGUUACUCGUAUGCCUCUCAGGCGGGACGCGUGGGCGAUAAGCUUUUCAUUUCGCGUCAUCAAAACAUCGAUGAGCUUUUAGGGGGCGCAUGCCGCCCCCUCAGUCCGCUCUUCUACAGCGGUGCCAUGGAGAGCGAAGCAACAUCGACGCUGCCGCCCGCUAACAAGAACAUAUUUCUGCUCGAAGAGAUUACGCCGGAUCAGGUGCGCAUUCACGAUAGCACCGCUCAGUUGCCGGUCAUACAGCGCAUGCAGCGCGACGUGGAAUGGCUAGAGAAUGGCAACAGCAGCAAUUUCUAUGAGCAGCAACAACAGCAGCCACAACAGCGCAGGAUCGAUGAUGCAGCCAUUCAAGUGUACAAGGAUGGUGACUAUGGCGCCUACUUGGAUCUCGAGUCAUCCCUCGCGGAGCAGACUGAAGAAAUCGAGGGCCUUCAAGCCAGUCGCAAAAAUUCACUGGUGAUUCGCACACAGUUGAGUGUGCGCGUUCAUGCCAUUAUUGAGAAACUCCUCUCAUCGGAGGGCAGCGAUUUGCGUCGUGCUUUAUUCUCCCUCAAACAGGUGUUCCAGGAGGAUAAGGAUCUCGUGCACGCCUUUGUCGCUCUGGGCGGUCUCAAUUGUCUCGUUCGCGUUGGCAAUUGUGCCGAUCAAAACUAUCAAAAUUACAUUCUUCGUGCCCUCGGCCAGGUCAUGCUCUAUGUGGAUGGCAUGAAUGGCGUUAUGAAGCACCAGCCCACCAUGGAGUGGCUCUACUCAUUGAUCGCCUCCAAUUACCGAUCAGUGGUCAAGACGGCUCUCAAGCUCUUGCUCGUGUUCGUCGAGUACGCCGAGUCUAAUUGUUAUGUGCUUGUGAGCGCCAUUCAUGCCGUGGAUUCCGCUCAAGGCACAGCGCCCUGGGCCAAUAUUAUGAGACUGCUUAAGGACUACGACAAUGCGGAUGCGGAGCUGGUGAUCUAUGCGACUUCGUUGAUCAAUAAAACUCUGGCUGGUCUGACAGACCAAGACAGUUUUUAUGAUGAAAGCGAUCUGCUGGAACAACAGGGCAUGGAAACAGUUAUACAACGCUAUAUGUCUAAGCCAGGAACAGAUUUGGAUCUGCUUGAUCAACUGCAGUUGUACGAGGCGGUAUUGAAAUUUGAGGAUGGCGAAUCGGAUGGUCAACGCUUGCCACAGAAUUCAAUGCGGAAGACGCAACGCCAUCGUCCUGGAACAGGCACCACAGAAAGACGCAAAUCACGACGUCACAGCACCGACAACAGUCCGGCUUCUUUGUCCAAAGUGUUGCCCACGACGGUGCUCAGGAUGACACCAACUCAAGCCACUCUCGAUGAGGAUGACAGCUCUGGCUCGACAAAUUCCACAGAGUUUAGCGGUGGAUUGUUCCAGGAAAAAAAGCCACGCGAUGGCGCUGGUGUGACGCCUGGUCUGAGACGUCGAAGGGAGCGGGCUGAGCGGCAUAAGAGCUUCCUCAAGGAACAGGAGGAGGCGGCAGCCAAUGGCAUCUUUGCGGCAAGGGAGCUGCGGGAGAAUUAUGGCCAAAUUGUUACCGCCAUUCCUGCUACCAUACAAAGUGGCGACAGUCCGCCGCAAUCAUUGCAACCUGAGUUGACCGCGUCUCCAUCCACACUAGAGUUCACAACACCCUGCAACAUAAUCAACAACAAUUCGAGCCACAACAACAACAUGCACUCGCAAAACAACAACAACAAUAACAGCCACAUUGACACGCCCAACAACAGUUUGUUGCUGAGUCCCACCAAGCAACUGUUGAGUGGCAGCCAGAGCAUUUCCAUCAUCAACAACAGCUUUGACAAGGCCAACAAUAAUACGAACAAUCAGAAUGAGUUCCUUACCAAAAAGAACCUCUUUCGGGAGCGCAACGCAACUGUGAUCAAUGGCAUCAUGAAGAAUAUACAGCAGACGGACAGUGCCUACAAGAAGUAUGAGAACGAUGCCAAUCGACUGAACAACUAUUACACACAACUCAGCCAAUCCCCAAAGCAUCUGUCUGCCGCAGCACAGGAUGUGCUCAGUCCCAAGAAAACUCUCAAUGGCAAUGGCUUUGAAUUCGCCACCGCCAGCUCGACGCCUCUCAAAUUGGAUGCGUUGCCAGCGCCAGAGCCUUUGAGUCCAAUACAUAAGCCAGUUGCAGUUGGUGCGCCACCACCGCCGCCUCCCCCACCACCGCCACCACCAGGCUGGUGGCAUUUUCCCACACAGCCAAAUGCAGCUAGAACUACCCUAACCAACAAUACUAACCCAGAGCCACAGUCUCAGCCUCAAACUCAACCACAACAGCAACAACUAGCUAUGGAUACGACAGAUCUGGAGAAUAAGGAUAUGCUGUUGCAGUUGAAACGUGAUCACACGGUCAAGGAUCUGACACAGAAACUGAGUAAUCUCCCCAGCAGUCCCACACAGGAUCCAGGCAAUCGCUCUAUUUGUGGCGAUAUGUCCGGCCUCAUAUCGAAAGCCAAAGAAGGUCUUGCCAAGAGCAAGAGCAAAGGUGAAAUAUCGCGCUCAUCGAGCGUUGAUCAGGAACUGAAAAAGGCUGAACCCAAGAAAUCGGAGAAUGAACUGCACUGGGAAGAACUCGUGCGCAGCAUGACACGACCCUUGAAUCUUUGUGAUCUGGACUUUACCGAUCUGCAUUCGGAUGAUGAGAAGGAUGUUCUGGCACCACGUGGUCUUGGCGUUGGCAUUCCACCUCCACCGCCACCACUCGCUGGUGGCAUGGUUAUGCCGCCCCCCAUGAUGCCACCCAAUCUCUUAUUGAGCUACGGCGUCGUACCGGGAAGUCUGACAAACAGCGUGAACAGCUCCCUAAAUGGUUCAGUGAACGGAGAACUUGCCAAUGGCAAUAACACCAUCAAGAAGAACAAGAAGACGGUCAAGCUCUUCUGGAAGGAAGUGCGUGAGGACAUGAUUCCCCAGGUGGUGGGUAAAACCAUUUGGGAUGAGCUGCCCAAUGCAAAUGUAGACACUCAAAAACUGGAGCAUCUCUUUGAGUCGCGGGCCAAGGACUUGAUGACCAAGAAACAACAAGAGCUGAAUAAGAGCAAGGAAGUCAUCGUGCUGGAUCACAAGCGCUCCAAUGCCAUCAACAUUGCAAUGACAAAGCUGCCACCUCCCCGGGCUAUCAAGACGGCGAUCCUCAAGAUGGACGCCACUGUGGUCACCAGGGAGGGCAUUGACAAGCUGCUGAAUAUGUUGCCCUCGGAUGAGGAGCGUGGCAAAAUACUGGAGGCCCAGUUGUCCAAUCCGGAGUUACCUUUGGGCAGCGCUGAGCAGUUUUUGCUGACCUUAGCUUCCAUUUCGGAGCUGGGCGCAAGGUUGAAACUCUGGGCCUUUAGAUUGGACUUUGACAAUUGCGAGAAAGAGAUUGCCGAACCACUGAUGGAUCUCAAACAAGGCAUUGAGAUUCUACGUCAGAAUCGCACAUUUCGUUGUAUUCUCUCCACGCUGCUGUCCGUGGGCAUCUUUUUGAAUGGCGCACCUGUGAAGGGUUUCCAGAUUGAGUAUCUGUCCAAGGUGCCCGAGGUCAAGGACACCGUUCACAAGCACUCGCUGCUGCAUCAUCUCUGCCACAUGGUCAUGGAGUCCUGCAGCGACACCAGUGAUUUAUACUCUGAAAUUGGUCCUAUAACACGCGCUUCCAAGGCCGACUUCACGGACUUGGCCCACAAUCUGAACCAACUGGAGGCCGAGUGCAAGGCCUCUUGGGAUCGGCUUAAGCUCAUUGCCAAACACGAUUGUGCACCGCAAUUAAAACAAAAGUUGGUUGACUUUCUGGCCGAUUGUGCGGAGCGUAUUAUCAUUCUCCAGAUUGUCCAUCGUCGCGUCAUGAAUCGUUACCGCAAGUUUCUAUUGUGGCUGGGCAUGCCCCAGCACAGUGUGGCCGAGUCGAGGCCCAAUGAGUUCUGUCGCAAUUUGUCAGAGUUCGCUUUGGAAUAUCGCACGACUCGGGAGCGUGUGCAGCAGCAGCUGGAGAAGAAGGCCAAUCAUCGGGAGCGCAACAAGACGCGCGGCAAGCUCAUCAUUGACAUGGCCAAGUUCAAGACCAAAGAGACGACCAAGGAGGAUGUAGCUGAUGCCGAGCUCAAGCAACUUUUGGGCACGCCCAGCGCGGAUCAGGCAGAUGGUACUCUGACUUGGCGUCGACGUCGUGCCGAGCAGCUUCGCUCGCCCAUUGCUCGUCAGAGCGAGGAGCAGUUCACUGAUGGCGAUGAUGAAAUACUCGAAUCUCUUGUGAAGACAGCCACAAAGGCGUCCGGUACACGGACCACGCCCCGUGAGCGCAAGCGUACGCGUCAUGCGGAUCGCAAGUCCUUGAAACGCAGUCGUACGCGCGAAGGAUUCACAAUUGAAAGAGCACCAUCGCCAUAGAAGGCGUAACCGUUACGUAACUGUUACCUUAACCGUUACCGUUAACCGUUACCGAAAAGAACAGCCAACUGUUUUUUAGGUCUUUACCUUUUUGUGCGUCGCACGCUGAAGAACGGUCUCACCGACGAGGAGAAACAGCAUGUGGCUGCCCUAAUACAAACAUAUUAGAGCUAAGGAAUUCCCCACCCCCUGCGAAUACAAUCCACAUCCCACGACCCUCAAUUUAACUCCCAGUGACGUCACAAGUCGGAGCAUCGCGCACACAGACUGAAAUUGGCGAUCUCACACGUACAGCAGCUGGAACUAGCCCCGGAACUGGUACUGGAACUGGCAUCGAUACUCCCCAAAUCUGAAACGAGAAAGUGCGCAAUCUUUUUGGCCACAAUCACAACCACAACAGCAACGAAAAAGUCCUUAAAGUUCUCUUAGUUUUUUUCUGUUAUUCGAUUUUUAUGUUUACUUCAGCUAAGUAUUAAAAUUAAUCAUAUUGUUAACAAUAACAAAAGCAAUCACAAC